rnacentral:rRNA from 1 species
UACGAAGGGGGCUAGCGUUGCUCGGAAUCACUGGGCGUAAAGCGCACGUAGGCGGAUUGCUAAGUCAGGGGUGAAAUCCUGGAGCUCAACUCCAGAACUGCCCUUGAUACUGGCGGUCUCGAGUCCGGGAGAGGUGAGUGGAACUGCGAGUGUAGAGGUGAAAUUCGUAGAUAUUGGGAGGAACACCAGUGGCGAAGGCGGCUCACUGGACCGGUACUGACGCUGAUGCGCGAAAGCGUGGGGAGCAAACGGG